rnacentral:rRNA from 1 species
UACGUAGGGUGCGAGCGUUAAUCGGAAUUACUGGGCGUAAAGAGUGCGUAGGCGGUUUCUCAAGUCCGCUGUGAAAUCCCCGGGCUCAACCUGGGAAUGGCAUUCAGGACUGCGAGGCUUUGAGUGUGGCAGAGGGAGGUGGAAUUCCACGUGUAGCAGUGAAAUGCGUAGAGGUGUGGAGGAACACCGAUGGCGAAGGCAGCCUCCUGGGCCAGCACUGACGCUCAUGCACGAAAGCGUGGGGAGCAAACAGG